ACGAGGCAAAUAUUGCAAAAUAACGCAAAUCUUUUCGUGAUAUCUAAUUCAAUAUUUCCGUAAUUUUUACAUAAUUGUUACGGUUUCAAUAUCAAACAAUCGUAAAAAAAAGAAAGUUGAUCUUGGACAAUUUUUUGGUAAAUGUGAUUAACUGCUCGAAGUCAAAGAAAUCGUGUAACCUACUUCGUAGCUAGCGAACUGCAGGCGUAUCUCCGUUCCAUCGAGUGCACCGCCUACGUAUAUACCUUCUAUAACAUCUUAAACAUAUCACACUGAGGUUUUUGUAAUCGCUGCUAACCACACAUUGAGGCGCAAAGUGUAAACCUGUCAUCAUGGUGGAUCGCCUAGUUAACUCGGAGGCCAACUCCAGGCGUAUAGCUAUGGUAGAAAGCUGCUUUGGUAGCUCAGGCGUGCCUUUGGCAAUUCCUGGACGGGUGCUAGUUGGCGAAGGAGUUCUCACUAAAAUGUGCCGCAAGCGUCCAAAGUCCAGACAAUUCUUCCUCUUCAAUGAUAUCUUAGUGUAUGGUAAUAUUGUUAUUGGGAAGAAGAAAUAUAAUAAGCAGCAUAUUAUGCCAUUGGAAGAAGUGUCACUUGAAUCAUUAGAAGAUAAUGGUCAAUACCGAAAUGGCUGGCUCAUACGUACCACAACAAAAUCUUUUGUUGUUUUUGCCGCUACCAGCACUGAAAAGCAGGAAUGGAUGGCACACAUCAACAAGUGUGUGGAAGAUUUGUUGCGCAAGAGUGGCAAGAAGCCCGUUGAAAAUCACGCUGCCGUAUGGGUGCCUGACGCUGAGGCCACCCACUGUAUGCAUUGCAAGAAAACUCAAUUCACAAUGAUCGUACGUCGUCAUCAUUGUCGUAAUUGCGGUGCAGUCGUUUGCGGGCCUUGUUCGUCGAAGAAAUUCCUAUUACCUCAACAGAGCUCUAAGCCGGUGCGUGUGUGUACCGCUUGCUAUGAACGGCUGUCUAAAGUCGUCAAAAUAGAAUCGUCCAAAACGGCUCUUGGAACUACUGCUGGAAACCAAGGGACACCUGCAGCGUCCAUCGAUGGUAAUGGCGCUGGUGCAGUAGCGAAAUUAGCUGAUAGUUCUGGGGAUGAUGAUUCCGACGAGGAAGGCGCUGGCAAUGUUAGCGAAAUGCACGAUGAACCACGUUUCUACGGUGAUACAACUUUGUCGGCUGAUGAAUCUACAGCAUCAUCAGCGGCGCUCAAUUCCAGCCACACACCCAGUGUUAACAACUGAUGCGUGCAGUCAACUGCGUUGGUGGGGGGUUUAUUAGAAGAAAGCGGUGACGGGCAUGGGGACAAAUGCCGUCACAAUGUCAGAUGUAGCGGUGGGUGUGACGAUAUAAAGCAAAGCAAGCAAACAAAAAUUCAUAAAAUAAAACAGAAACAACAAAAUGAAACAACUGAAACAAACCAGCCAGAACAGCAAGAGGAUGGACGUAAUAAAAAGGUGUGGCACUUCGUCUGGCAACGAAAAGGAUUAACAAAAAUAUUCUUCCCUGGAAAUGGAAGAAGAAGAACGUAAAAAACGUGAAGAAGCACGCAUUAAGGAGUUGCGAAAGCUCACUACAUUUAAAGCACGACCAAAUCCUUUCAAGUAGACUCCUACCAACAACCACAGUAAUACAUAGAUAUAUAGUUAUAAAUAUGAUUUAAACGCCACAUGUUAAUAUACAUAAAUAUCAAUUAAAAUAUCAAAACACAAA